rnacentral:rRNA from 1 species
CCAGACUCCUACGGGAGGCAGCAGUGAGGAAUAUUGGUCAAUGGGCGGAAGCCUGAACCAGCCAAGUCGCGUGAGGGACUAAGGCCCUGCGGGUCGUAAACCUCUUUUGCCGGGGAGCAGUGGUCCGGACGCGUCCGGACCGGGAGAGUACCCGGAGAAAAAGCAUCGGCUAACUCCGUGCCAGCAGCCGCGGUAAUACGGAGGAUCCGAGCGUUAUCCGGAUUUAUUGGGUUUAAAGGGAGCGUAGGUGGAUUGUUAAGUCAGUUGUGAAAGUUUGCGGCUCAACCGUAAAAUUGCAGUUGAAACUGGCAGUCUUGAGUACAGUAGAGGUGGGCGGAAUUCGUGGUGUAGCGGUGAAAUGCUUAGAUAUCACGAAGAACUCCGAUUGCGAAGGCAGCUCACUGGACUGCAACUGACACUGAGGCUCGAAAGUGUGGGUAUCAAACAGGAUUAGAUACCCUCGUA